rnacentral:misc_RNA from 1 species
GAAUAAUGCCGAAGGCAAGCCAUGGCAUCAUGGCCGGGAGGUGGAUGAUUGUUUUGAUCAGGGAAAGGAUAUUUGUUCAGAUAGCUCGCAGGAUCCUGUCUCUAAGGACAUCCUUGAUAUUCUGCCUGCGGAUCCAUUUGGCAUGGAUAUAAGUACCACCUUUACAGCAAUAACGGGAUGGCUUGAGGACAUGGAAGUGGACUAUGCUGAGUG